rnacentral:rRNA from 1 species
AGCCGCGGUAAUUCCAGCUCCAAUAGCGUAUAUUAAAGUUGUUGCGGUUAAAAAGCUCGUAGUUGGAUCUCGGCGGGCAGGGGGUGGUUCGCUCUUCAGCGCUACUGCCCCGCUUUGCCCGUGUGAUUGGCGGAGGUUUCGGGGUGCUCUUCGUUGAGUGACUCGGAGCGCCGUCAGGUUUACUUUGAAAAAAUUAGAGUGCUCAAAGCAGGCUUUUCACGCUUGAAUAUUCGUGCAUGGAAUAAUGGAAUAGGAACUCGUUUCUAUUUUGUUGGUUUUCGGAAAUCGAGUUAAUGAUUAACAGGGACAAUUGGGGGCAUUAGUAUUCAGACGACAGAGGUGAAAUUCUUGGACCGUCUGAAGACUGACUACUGCGAAAGCAUUUGCCAAGAGUGUUUUCAUUAAUCAAGAACGAAAGUUAGAGGUUCGAAGGCGAUCAGAUACCGCCCUAGUUCUAACCAUAAACGAUGCCAGCUAGCGAUCUGCCGAGUUUUUUUUGUAGGCUCCGCCGGAAGCUUUCGGGAAACCAAAGCUUUUGGGUUCCGGGGGAAGUAUGGUUGCAAAGCUGAAACUUAAAGGAAUUGACGGAAGGGCACCACCAGGAGUGGAGCCUGCGGCUUAAUUUGACUCAACACGGGAAAUCUCACCAGGCCCGGACACUGGAAGGAUUGACAGAUUGAGAGCUCUUUCUCGAUUCGGUGGGUGGUGGUGCAUGGCCGUUCUUAGUUGGUGGAGUGAUUUGUCUGGUUAAUUCCGAUAACGAACGAGACUCUGUCCUGCUAAAUAGUUGGGUCGUCCUUCGUGCGAUCCAAGUUCUUCUUAGAGGGACUGGCUGCGUCUACGCACGCACGAGAUUGAGCAAUAACAGGUCUGUGA